CGGACGGGUGAGUAAUGUCUGGGAAACUGCCUGAUGGAGGGGGAUAACUACUGGAAACGGUAGCUAAUACCGCAUAACGUCGCAAGACCAAAGAGGGGGACCUUAGGGCCUCUUGCCAUCGGAUGUGCCCAGAUGGGAUUAGCUAGUAGGUGGGGUAACGGCUUACCUAGGCGACGAUCCCUAGCUGGUCUGAGAGGAUGAUCAGCCACACUGGGACUGAGACACGGCCCAG
rnacentral:rRNA from 1 species